rnacentral:sRNA from 1 species
UCCAAAUUAGAGCAGGUAAUGGCAAAAUAAUUUCUUUAAGGUUGACUUACUAAAGUAUAGUCCCACCUGAGUGGUUUGGUUUCGGUGGAAUCUACCCCAACCUUCCUUUUAUUACCAAUUUGUUUACUUAAGUUUUUACAUUUAAACAUUAAUAUAAGCCACAUAAGACCCAAAACAUACCAUUUGGUAAGUUUUCAAUUUAUUUACUUGUUAGGUCCAAAACAGCACCCUAAAAUGGAAGUCCUUGUGAUAACAGCCGAGACAGGAGGACUUUGGACUAGUAAACAGGAGGAUUAUUAUUGGAUAAACAGAGGUCUGGAGGUGGGUUUCUGUUUACCUGGAGCUUCCCUAAAGCUACCAGGAACCUCCCUUAAUCCACUCAAAGGUCAACUCCUUAGGGCAAGGACAUCGAGUUCCCAGUACAUCUGCAGAGCAGCUCAGAGCACCCCUCCCUUGCUGACAGACAUCAGCUUGCUUUUCCGCCACUUGCCCUUGUCCCACCCCAAGAUACGAUCUUGGCAAUUUGAUCUCUAAAAUACCGUUCCUUUUACUCACGGAGCAGUCUAGUUUACGACACCCUCACUUACACUACUAAGUUAGUUUAGUUUGCACAGUCACAACCAUUAUCUAAUUACAAAAUAUUUUGACCAUCUCAGAAUGACUCUGAGAUGUAGUCAAGAAACAGACAGUAAAUGUAGCCCAGUCAACUCGAACACACUUGCUGUUUUUGUGUGUUUGCCUGUUCUGGGUACUCCAUAUAAUAGUGUGCCUAAUGAUUUUAGUUUUUUACUCGUUUCAUUGCUGAAUAAUAUCCUAUCAUGUGGAUAUACAACGUGUGGAUAUGUGUUUUCAUCAGCUGAUGGACAUUCGCUUUGUUCCUGUCAUUUGUCUAUUAUGAACGAAGCUGCUAUGGAAAUUUGCAUACAAGUUUUUGUUUGCCCUCAGUUGCUGAAAUCCGUGAUGAUUCUGUCUUUUAGUUUUUGUGCUGCCCACAGUUUUUCCUAAGUGUCUUACCAUUUUAUAAUUCCGUAAGAAUAUCUGUAACCUCAGAACAUAUUUUAACUACUCUAAGGCUUAGGUUAGUAGCUCUCCAGCUUUUAGACGAAAUGCUAAGCUGAUAAACAAGAAAUACUUUCCUAGGGCUGGGUCCCGGGUUUGUUCAUUGAGAAUCCUGUGGAUACAGAGACGGCGGCCAUGUUUCGUCUGCGAGGCAGACUCUCCAGUCUGUGAGGCCUCCUUGGGAAUCUUUAACAGUGGGGAGAAUGCCACCUGGGUGAUUUGGCAAAGCUGGAGUCUGGCCAGAGAGAAAGGUCGGGCAGAGUCAAAUCCCUCUCAGUGCUGGCUAAGUUUUGGAUGCCGACCCUUAAGCUAGAACCGACUUUCUGUUCUCCACAAUAACCAUCGGCUUAGGUUUUGUUUUCUUAAUGGGGAAAAUGUGUGAAGCUUCAGCAUUUCCUGUCUCUCUGGAACAAACAGUUUUCUGCAAAACCAUCUAAAUCCCAGGAGUCUGCACAUGAGUUUAUAACUUAAGCUGGGAGAGAGAAGCAUCCUGGGAGUUUGUGUCAUUCUUGGUCAGCCCUGGAGCCAUCAUGUCUGCUCGGUCGAGUCUCACUGACCACAGUCCUCCAAGGUGGGCCAGGCCAGCUCACGCUAUCUCCACUUCAUGCACGAGAGUUGAUCCUCAGAGGCGUGGCUCCAUCUUCUUCACGUCACCCGUGUAGUCCAGAAGUGGCUUUGCUCAAGCCAUUCAUUCUCAAGUGUAUAACAAAACUCCCUUGCAGGUCUUCGUAACACAAAUUAAGUUACUUGUAGGUAAAGACCUCACCCCUUUUCCCCCUCCAGUCUAAGCCUUGACGAAUAGGAGAUUUUCAAGAAAAAUCCACUUAUUCUGGCCCUACCCUGAGAGUCGACCUUGCCUGUCACUCAAGCUGUCAAGAAACUCAACCUGUCACCAUUGAUGAAAGCUAAAAGGGGGCCUUGGGAUGAUGAAUGUAUUCAAAUAAGAAUAGUUAUAAAAACACUACAGCUAGGCUACCAAUCACUUACUAUGUGCAUCCUACACAUUUUAACCCAUGUCACCCUGCCUAUUACCUUUUAGCAGGUUAGUGCUAUACUCAUUUUACAGAAGGAAAAACAGAGGCUCAGAGAGGGCAAAGGCAUUGACCGAAGUUAUAAAGCUAAGUAAGAAAGGGAAAAAUGCAACUGUCAGUUUCUAGAUCUGCAAUGUGUUUUCUUGGGGAAAAAAAAAUCAUUGUUCUGUUUCUCCCACAUAUUAUACGUAACAACAUUCAGGAUGACUAACAUUUCCUCUAAUUUAUUUAUAUAUUUUAAAUGAUUUGUUUAUUAUUUUUAUUUUACGUGUAUGAAUGUUUUCUCUCCAUGUGCAGUAAGCGUACUGUGCCAGUGCAGGGACUUCAGAGGCCAGAAUAGGGCAUCAGAUACCCUGAAACUGGUGUUAUAGAUAGUUGUAAGAUGCCGGGGAUGGUGGAAACUGAAUCUUCGUCCCUCGCAAUGGCAGUAAACAUUUGUAAUCAUGGAGUCAUCUCUCUAGCCCCAUAUAAAUUUGCUUUAAGUGAUGUCCAGUGGCCUUCAUUUCAUCUAUAGUGCUUAUAAAGAUCUUGGGCAAAUAUUUUAGCAUUUUAAAGCUUCCACUUUCUAAUCUUCAAAAUGGGAAAACAAAGCUGCCUACUGUGUGAUGUUCUCUGAGGACAGAUGGUACAAGGCACUCACAGUGGUUGGCCCACAACUGCUGUUCAGCAUAUUCUAAUUAUCAAUUGUUAAUUUGAUAAGUGCUCCAGGCUGGCCUGGAACUCACUCUGUAUCUGAGGCUGGUGUCGAACUCACAAUGAUCAUCCUCUCCCAGGCAGCCUCCCAAGUGCCGGGAUUGCAGACGUGCACCACAGUGCAUGCCUUUGAAGUCCACAUCGAUGUACAUCAGAAUCCCAAGUGAGAACUUUUCGAAGUACUGCCCUCUGGGUCCCCUGUGGGACAUUCUGAAGAAGUUCCCCAAGUGAUUCAGCUUCACGGUCGGUGGGCUCAGUGCCAGCUGUGCCACACGUCCACCAAGGAUGUGCUCGCUCAAGACACUGUUUUAUGCACUACAAAUAAUGAAGUAAAUGUCACAUAAAAUCCGUUGGAGCUUCACUGAGGUGACCAUAGAUGGGUGGGGCUUGGAGGCUCAACAGCGCCACCUUUCUUAAGUGGUAACAGAAUAAUCUGUGAAGACAGGAAGUCCAGAAGUGUGGUGAGCAGACUUUGGAGAGAGCAGAAAGAGGAGAUCCAAGGGCGAGCCGGAGUUAGAGAAGGGGCUGUCAAGAAAGUGCAAGAACUCAUUGUGUGGUAGGCACUGUCUGCCAAUCUCAUCAUCUGAGAAGAGUCUAGUACUUAGAAUAAGCAAAGAAUCUUACAACACGGCAUUGAAUGACAAAAACCAAUUAAAACCGAACAAACCAUUACAGUAACUAUUUCUCCAGAUACAAUGUACAAAUGAAGCUGUGUGGUGUCCCGUACCGAUAAUCCCAGCAUUCAGAGGAGACUGAGGCAGGAGGACUGUGAUGUCAAGACUGUCUGUGCAACGUCAGGAGACUCUGGAUUAAUCCCCUGACAUGUAUACACACAAGUGGUCAAUGCUCAAUGUCAAGCCAUCUGAGAAAUGUAAGUCAAAGGCACAAUGAGGUACCCUUUCACGCCUAGUAGGGUGGCAGUCAUCACUAUCGUUACCAUGGCCAUCAUCAAUUAUCCUGAGAUAAUAACAGAGGUAUAUGCCUGGAGAACUGGAGGCCUACACAGAUGUUUAUAAAUAGAAAGGAUCACCGUGUUCACCAACUGAUGAGUGAUGUCCAUCAGCUCUGUAGUAUAACUACACAGAGUGUCGUACGGGGGAACAGAGUGAACCAACACAUGCGUAAUAUGGGUGAACUUUGAAAACAUAAAGUAAGUAAAAUAACCGUUACUAAGGGCAGCAUAUUAUAUAGUCGCACCAAUGACACAUUUAGAAUAGAAAAGCCCACAGAAAUGAAGAAGAGCUUAGCUAACCGUUGACAGAUGAGGGAGUGAAGAGGAAUGAGAAUGACUCUUGAGACAGUGAACAUCCUCAACAAUGCAGCAUUGGCUACCCAAUGCUGUGGCUAUGAACUCACGGGAGGGGAAAGUUAGUCAAUACAAUUCUUAUGGUGUCAUCUGAAUGCCCAAGUGUCUUCCAAUGACAUGGAAAUAAAGAAGAAUGUAAAGAAAGUUACAGAGCCGGCAGGGUAAGGGCAGAUUCAGUCAGUAGUAUAUUCGUUUAGAACAGGUGUGACAAGAGAGAAUCUGGAGAUGAGGCUGAAGUGAGAUGUUGGGUCUCGAACUUCCAGUCAGCCUGUGGGUCUCUGAGUGAGUUUCACAUAUCAUGUCUAUCAUGUCGGGCCACUGCUCUUCCAGGUGCUUGAACAAAGAGAGAGGCUUGGCAGUAUAAGUGAGGGUGACAUUAAACAAACACUGCACGCCGGAAACACAUUUGAUAGGUACUCCUCGGCGUGAUGCAAUCCAGGAAUGUGCAGGUAUUCUGGGUACACUUACAGAAGUCAUGUUCGGGGAGAUGUGGUGAGAGUGAUGUCAUAGGAAGAGCUGUUGGUGGGUCUCAAACACCCCCUCUCGAGGUGCUGGCAGAGCAAGGAAGCAAUGAAGCGUCUUUCCACGGAGACAGCUGUGGGCUGAAUGUUGAGCGCUCUCUGUCAUGCUUCAUCCUUCCAGCUACUGUGGGAGAAAUGAUACUCACGACUGUUCAGGAGCUGACGAUGGACUGGUCUAGCAGAUCUUGCUUUCUCCGUCACCAGAAGCAAGGAUCCAGGGACCUCCCUGACUCUUUCCUCCCUGCUUAGGGAGGCAUUUGCAAAUGUCAUCACAAAGUUUCUUGGGUCAGGGUCACUUCCUUGCUUUAGUUUGUCCAAGUGAGAGUUGUCAAAAAUGGACUAGAUCCUUCCAGAGUUGGCACCAGUACAGGGGAGGGGAGGAGGACAGAGCACAGAGAGCAAUCUCGUUGAACACCACCCCUCCACAAUAAACAUUAUAUUCCUCACGGGAGGCGCAUGUUUGCUUUAUGAAUAUAUUCUGUGCUAUUCUUUUAUUCCUCCCCCUUCCCCAUAUUUCUUCACUAUUCAUCCUUGCCUGCCCCUGUCCCACAAUAAGUCCCUAGGUUCUAGUCACAGCACGGCUAAGGCAAGAUGUUAAGAAACCUGUCAGGACAGCUGCUCUGGUCCUGUGCUUUACGAGCUGCUCAGAGUGUGCUUCAGCUGUAGGGAAGCUCAAAGGGAAGUCCAGGCUUUAGCUCUGAUGAGCAAAGCUAACACAAAGGUUGCUCACUGCAAGCCAGAGCACAGCCUCCUAAAACCCAUCCUUCUGACUCACAGGACAGAGACCUCCUCAAGCUCCUUGGUCAGAAUCUGCCGAGGCUCCAGGUGUCAGAAUCUGCCAAGGCUCCACCCACCGGCGGCUUUCUGUGAGCAGGUGUGCAUGGAACUUUGGAUCCCAUGUUUUGAAAUUUGUAAUCUGAGGCCCUCAGAGGUCACAGGCACCAUCUAAGGGGAGGGAUUUGAGGCAAAAGGGGGAUUAUGUUUCUGACUUCUACCUCAUGAGAGGAAAGAACCAACCCAGUUAACAGAGAGUCCUUAAUGAGGGUUGAAUGUGUGAGGGUCUGUCUUGGGGGGAUGCAGUCCAGAGAACUCUCGUUCAUCCCUUUCUCUCUGCACACACUGUUCUCUGAGCUCCAUGGCUUCCUGUUUCCUUGUCAGACUUCAUAUAAGCAUUUGCGGAGGGUAGAGCAGGUGUUAGGCUCCACAGCCAGGAUGCAGAAGCAGGUGGAGGGCAUCAGAUGUGAAUGACACUUGGGCCGGAGCUCAACAAGUUCCCCUUUUAGUGAGCAGUAAAGGACCAGACAUGACUGUAAUCUCUGUUUAUGAUUUGAGUACUCAGGAGAAAUGACUCAUUUCAGCAGACGAAAAAGAACUCUGGUGGGCAAGAAUGUGCAAGGCCAACGAGAGCUUCAAAUGCUUUGAAGAAAGAAUAUGACCUGAGAGUGUCCCCACAGGCUCUGUAGGUCUCUCAUAAACCUAGCUGACACACCGAGUAGUUCUCCAACCCUUUGCUUCCGAUCUCAGCCAAUCGUCUCCUUUGUGAUCACACAGUUGUAGGGUGUGCUAGGUGGGAACAAUUCUUGCCUCUAUUAAAUGAUGCUUAAAUAUAAUAUGUGUAAUUCUUAUAAGGCAGUCUUGGCCAAAAUAGAAAAUCCUGUUGCUGUGCCACUUCACCUCCCACUCUCCCACUCCUACGUUCACACCACACCAUCCUACAAGGUUUUUUGCUUG